rnacentral:lncRNA from 1 species
UACAACGGUUGUUUAUUAUCUUUUCUGAAGUGAAACAGCCACACGUCCAAAGACAGAAGAAUGUGUCUACCCAUCUAUAGAACAACAAAAGCUCGAUGAAGCAGCAGUCACUGACGAUGCUUCCUUUCAGUUCCCAAACGCUCUGGGGAAGCUGCACAUCUUUCACGCGUGUCUUCUGUGGCGAGUCCCUGACUGGUAUGCAUGCCAUUUCCAUGGUUGACUGUGUAAACCUAGAAGCUGUGUGACUUGCUCAUCAGGCAACAGAGAGUGAUGACUGUUAAUCCACAGAACGCAUGGAAUUGGAGAAGAUAGAUGCAGAUUAUCUCACUGCCCAGUCUUGUAAUACUGCACAGUUCAUUUAAUAGAAAUGAUCAUGUGAUGCCCAAUAAAGUCAUAGAAACCUACAUGCUGCUUCUCAGACACAACCGAAGAAAAGCAAGAAAAGAGGUUGCAGUGGUUUUAGGUCAGGUCCAGUGUUCUGGAACCUUCUGCCGAUCAAGGUUUUAUAAAGUUGAUUUGGGGUAAGGGCACAGCCUGCUUAGGCUCAGAAGGAAGAAUGAGAGCUCUAUGUAGUUUCUUCUCAGACUGAGGCAAAUGUCACGAUUUUAUGUCCUUUUUCAUUAACUUACUAGAAUAUUUAUUGUCAUGUGUUUGAGUGUUUUGACUGCAUGCAUUUAUGUGUACCUGCUGUGGGCCCACUGUCUGUGGAGAUCAGAAGAGGCAGGGCACAUGCCCUGGAAUUGGAGUUAUGGAUGGUUUGGAUCAGUAUGUGGAUGCUGGGAACCAAACCUAGGUCUUCUAAAAGAACAAAACUUGUUCUUGGACUAUGGAUCCAUCUCUCUGGCCUCUUCAUUGUCUUCUAAAGC